AUUGAACGCUGGCGGCGUGCUUAACACACGCAAGUCGAUCGGUAACGCGGGGGCAACCCUGGCGACGAGAGGCGGACGGGUGAGGAACGCUUGGGAAUCUGCCCUUCAGCGGGGGACAACCCGGGGAAACUCGGGCUAAUACCGCAUACGCUCCACGGAGGAAAGCCGGGGACCGCAAGGCCUGGCACUGAAGGAUGAGCCCAAGUCGGAUUAGCUAGUUGGCGGGGUAACGGCCCACCAAGGCGACGAUCCGUAGCUGGUCUGAGAGGACGAUCAGCCACACUGGGACUGAGACACGGCCCAGACUCCUACGGGAGGCAGCAGUGGGGAAUAUUGGACAAUGGGGGAAACCCUGAUCCAGCGACGCCGCGUGGGUGAAGAAGGCCUGCGGGUUGUAAAGCCCUUUCGGUAGGGACGAAAGCUCUCGACCUAACACGUCGGGAGGUUGACUUAACCUACAAAAGAAGCACCGGCUAACUCUGUGCCAGCAGCCGCGGUAACAC
rnacentral:rRNA from 1 species